AGUUACAGCGCUGAAACUUUCAGCAGGUCAUACACACCUGAGACACGCGGACGAGAAGGAGAGCAGUCGGUUUCUGAUCCACAACAAAGUGUUUUGCUGAAGAAGACAGAAAGACUUUAAGAGAAACUUCCAAAAAAAAAUCAUCAGGCUGUAAAAGAAGAAGAAAAGUGCUUUGGUUGUAAAGACCGUCCGAGUGUUAAAAACGGAUUAACGGGAUGCCAGGAAUGAGCGCGCAGGAAACCAGCACGACUUUAGAAGACUGGAGCUGGACGCUGGCUAAAAAAGCCUCCGCUAAAAGCGGCUCCAGUCUGACGCGUUCAGGAAGCGUCAAAGAUCUGAUAUUCAAGUUUGACGGAUCGUCCAACACCUCACCAAAGACUAAAGAGAAAAAUAAACACCAGAGCAGAGAAAAGGAGAAAAACGAGAGCUCGAAGAAGAAAAUGGAGGAAACUGAGGUGAAAAAAGAGGAGUGUGUACUUAUUAAACUCGAUGAAGAGAAUCGUGAUGUUGCACAGGAGUCGCAUUCCAGCUUCAAUGGACAGAAGCAGCAGCCGGAGGAGCCUGCAGCCUCAAAGUCCCGUCCAAACCCCAAAUAUCAGCUGUAUUUGGGCUCCAAUGGGACAAGCAGCACCAGCAGGACCAGUAAAGCCAAUGGGACCAGCAGCAGCUCUAACGGGUCAUUAGGGGACAGUGGCACAGGUUCAGGUUCGAGUGCUGCAUUCAAUGGGAAUCUGCUGCGGGUCAGUUCUGUGAUCCGCGGGUCCAUGGAGUCACUGUCGUCCCGGGACUGGGACAGCAUGUCAGACAGAAUGGGAGGUUUCGACAGUCCUCCUCGAGUCUUCAACAGCCCGUAUUCAACACUCUCACUGGAUUAUAAUCCCGUCAACAGAAUGUCUGACUUUAAGUCACAGGAAGUGAUGUCACCAGGCGCCUCAGACAUGAACCUGUUUGGUCUGAACAGAAGUGUGAGUCCGGUCAGCAGUCCAGCGGUCGUUCAGAGAUCCCGAAUCUCCGGAUACGACAGUCUGCCACGCAGACGAGACGCGACUCCAGGUCAGCUGAUGCAGAGGAGCAACCAGCCCAAUAAACGAGACUUUAUCCAGGAGCUGACCUUACAGCUGGAUGAGUGCCGCAGGAGGAACCAGUUUCUGGAAGCAGAGAGCGUAGAGAUGGAGAAAGAGAGGAAUCAGAUUCGUUUCGAAAUGCGAGGCCUGUUGGUCAACAAUGAGGAUCUGUUGCGCACAAAUACACAGAUGCAGGGCGAGACAAACCGUCUGCGGGAGAAAAUCGUGGAGCUGGAGAGCAACAAUAAUGUCCUGGUGGAGCGAUUCAGAAAGAUGGAGCUCGAGCUGAAGGAGGCACGUGAGGUGAUGGUGGAAGCAAACACUCAAGAAUAUGCCUUCAACUUCCUGCAGCAGACGCUCAAGAACAAAAUACAAGACACUGAGGAAGCUCUGGAGAAACAGAGUCAGCACGCUCAGACUGUGUCAGAAAAACUUUGGCACGCGGAGAGAAAUCUGGAGGAGCUGGAGCUGGAGAAGGAAAACAAGAGCAAGAAGGUUCUAGAACUCGGAAACACUGUGUUCAGACUGGAGACUGAGCUGGCAGAUGCUCUCCAGGAUGCCAACCAGGCACGCUCCGAGCUCAACCUGCAGCAGAAACUGCGUGCGGACGCUCAACUGAGGGUGGAGGAGCUGGAGGAGAGUGUGUUAGAGAAAGACCAGGAGCUGCUGCGCCUCACACAGAUCACCAGCAGACUGCAGGGAGAGGUGUCUGAUAAGCUCAGUGAUAAAGAGCAGACUCUAGAGGAAGAGAUCCAGCUGCGGGAGCGAGUGCAGCUUCAGUGUAAGCAGGCGGAGAGAACCGUGGAGGAUCUGCGCAUGGAGCUGCAGACGCUCAGCCAGAGCAGAGACGAGCUCGCCAAACAGCUCAAACUCACACAGGAGAACAUCAUCGAUCUGGAGGGAGAUCUGGAGGAGCUUCAUGAGAAUGAGCAGAGAUGGGCUGCCAAACACAAGAGAGCCCUCGAUCAGUCUGAGCAGCUGCAGAUGAAACUCAUCCAGGAGAAAGAUCUGAAUGACCAGUUGGAGUGUGACAAGGCCAUCCUGGAGAGACAGCUGAGAGAUCUGCGCAGUGAAGUGGAGGAACUGCAGAACAACAGAGUCGAGGUCGAUUCCAUCACUAGAGCUGAAAUCAAAGCUAAAGAACUGGAGAACACACUGCGGGCAGAGGAGAGGAAUAAAGUGGCUCUGACAAACACCAUCAGUAAACUGGAGAGGAAGAUUCAUGAGCUGACGGAGCAGAUGGAGGAGGAGCACAAGAUCUCCACUGAACAGAGGGAGCUGAUGACUCAGCGCAUCCGCUCACUGAAGCGUCAGCUGAACGAGGCUGAAGAAGAAGCGAGUCGGCGAGACGUUCAGCACCGACACACACAGAGGGAACUGAUGGAGGAGAGAGAAGCAAACAGCCGCUUACAGAGACAACUACUGGACCAGCAGCUCAGCAACAAGAGGAAAGAAUCACGGCAGACUCUGGAAAGCCUGAAACUGACGGUGAGUGAAGAUAUUGAAGAAGAACAGGAUGAAUCCAAACCCACAGAGAAGCAGAUCACACAGGUCUGACCAAAAACACUGAGAAUCCUGCAGGUCUGACCAAGAAAUGGUCCAUAACACUGAGAAUCCUGCAGGUCUGACCAAAAACAACCAAAAACACUGAGAAUCCUGCAGGUCUGACCAAAAACAACCAAAAAACUGCUCCAAAACACUGAGAAUCCUGCAGGUCUGACCAAAAACAACCAAAAACACUGAGAAUCCUGCAGGUCUAACCAAAAAAUGGUCCAUAACACUGAGAAUCCUGCAGGUCUGACCAAAAACAACCAAAAACACUGAGAAUCCUGCCGGUCUGACCAAAAACAACCAAAAACACUGAGAAUCCUGCCGGUCUGACCAAAGAAUGGUCCAUAACACUGAGAAUCCUGCAGGUCUGACCAAAAACAACCAAAAACACUGAGAAUCCUGCCGGUCUGACCAAAGAAUGGUCCAUAACACUGAGAAUCCUGCAGGUCUGACCAAAAACAACCAAAAACACUGAGAAUCCUGCCGGUCUGACCAAAGAAUGGUCCAUAACACUGAGAAUCCUGCAGGUCUGACCAAAAACAACCAAAAACACUGAGAAUCCUGCCGGUCUGACCAAAGAAUGGUCCAUAACACUGAGAAUCCUGCAGGUCUGAUCAAAAACAACCAAAAACACUGAGAAUCCUGCCGGUCUGACCAAAGAAUGGUCCAUAACACUGAGAAUCCUGCAGGUCUGACCAAAAACAACCCAAAAAAAGUGCUCCAAAACAUUGAUAAUCCUGCAGGUCUAACCAAAAACAACCAAAAAACUGGUCCAAAACACUGAGAAUUCUGCCACAGAUAAACUGUUUCCUCGUUAUCCACUGAGCUGAGAUCAGAUGAACACUUAACCCAGCCUGGAUCGACAAAACCAGAUUCAGGAGACAAAAAGAAUCGAACCCUUUCCUGAGGACGGACACUUUUAGGAAUGUAAUACUGGAAUAAAUAUUCGCCUUGAUGUGAAAUUUUAGUUAUUGUUCAAAUAUUUCCCAAGUGUUUCUGUUUUUAUCUCCUGAGAAGGGCUUUUAAAUGUGUAUUUUCUUUUAAAGGGCACCCUUUUUACAAGUAUAAGAUAAGCCUUUGGUGUCUCCAGAAUGUGUCUGUAAAGUCUCAGCUCAAAACACCCAUCAGAUGAUUUAUUAUAGCCUCCAGAAUCUGCCCAUUUUGGUGUCUGAGUUCAGUGUAGCUGUUUUAGUAGCCCGUGGCUUUAAAUGCAAAUGAUCAUCACUUGGGAAAUAUUUUGAUAUAAAAGAAUUACAAUUUCACAUGAGGGUGAAUAAUGUUGAUUUCCAGCAGGUAAAAGACGCCACUGCCCGGUUUGUGUCGUUUACAGUAAGCUAUUAAGAUUAUUAUUAUUGUUAUUAUUAUUAUAAGGUAUAUUCAUUAUUCUUCAUCAAGCUAUCCGUUCCAUUGUUUCUAUUAUUAUUGUUAUUCUGAAUGAAUUCAAUCAGCUGUUUACAUUGUGCGUAUAUCAGAAUUAGUGCAGGGCAAAGAUUAAUCGUGAUUAAUCAAAUAAUAAAAGUGUGUGUGUGUGUGUGUGUGUGUGAGUGUGUGUUAUAAACAGUAAAAUCUGUACUGUACAUAAAACAAACUAUUCAAAACUAUUUUAUUGCAUAAAUAUUUAAAUGGAUGUAUAAUUUGUGCCAUAUACAUAUAGAUUUUGUCAAAAUAUAUCAAAUAUUUACAUUAUUUAUAUAUACAUAUAUAUAUACAUAUAUAUACAUACAUAUAUAUAUAUAUAUAUAUAUAUACAUACAUACAUACAUACAUACACACACAUUAUAAAUAUACACUAUAAAUACACACACACACAUAUUGUCAAAACAAACUUUUAUUUUGAAUAAUCACGAAUAAUCUUCAUCCAGCACGAAUAUUAGCAUAAUUUGCAUAGAAAUUAAUAUUCAUGAUGAAGUGUGUUUGUUAUUCAUGAUGUUUAUUGGUCACACUUUAUUUUAGGUCACAAUUCAAAUCAUUUACUAAGACUUUUAGCACAAUUAACUACUAAUUAGCUACUAAGUAAUAGGUUCUAAAGCUAGUAGUUAGGUUUAUGUAAUGGGAUUAGAGCUGUAAAAUAAGAUCACACUUUAUUAGUGCUAAUAAACAGUUCAUAUUUUAAUAAUAUGUAAAUAAUAAGUCAGUAGUGAAUAGUGUGAGUUGUGACUUAAACUGAAGUGUUUCUGAUUUCUUUAGGGUUUUAAGUGAGCUUGCAUGCAGAUCAGAACUGGUGAAUGGAUGAAUGUUAGUUCUGCUGAAGGUUAUUAAGCAGUUUUUGGGAAUCCUGUUUAAGUGUUAAUGAUAAAACAUGUUUAAAGGGAUCCAUUUUGUGUUUCUUAUUUUAGUGCCAUUUGAAAUACAGCAUCAGUUUGGCUUCAGGGUGUUUCGUAUGUAGCUCUCGCUUUAAUGUGCAUCUACACAAUGCUAAUAAACCAUUAGAAAUGA